rnacentral:rRNA from 1 species
UUACAGAGUUCAUGCCCGAAAGGGUAGACCUCCCACCCUUGUGUAUUAUUACUUUGUUGCUUUGGCGAGCUGCCUUCGGGCCUUGUAUGCUCGCCAGAGAAUACCAAAACUCUUUUUAUUAAUGUCGUCUGAGUACUAUAUAAUAGUUAAAACUUUCAACAACGGAUCUCUUGGUUCUGGCAUCGAUGAAGAACGCAGCGAAAUGCGAUAAGUAAUGUGAAUUGCAGAAUUCAGUGAAUCAUCGAAUCUUUGAACGCACAUUGCGCCCCUUGGUAUUCCGGGGGGCAUGCCUGUUCGAGCGUCAUUUCAACCCUCAAGCUUAGCUUGGUAUUGAGUCUAUGUCAGUAAUGGCAGGCUCUAAAAUCAGUGGCGGCGCCGCUGGGUCCUGAACGUAGUAAUAUCUCUCGUUACAGGUUCUCGGUGUGCUUCUGCCAAAACCCAAAUUUUUCUAUGGUUGACCUCGGAUCAGGUAGGGAUACCCGCUGAACUUAAGCAUAUCAAUAAGCGGAGGA